rnacentral:rRNA from 1 species
GACGAACGCUGGCGGCGCGCUUAACACAUGCAAGUCGAGCGAGAACCAGGGCUUCGGCCCUGGGGACAGCGGCGAACGGGUGAGUAACACGUGGGUAAUCUGCCCUCGGCACCGGAAUAGCCCGGGGAAACCCGGAUUAAUGCCGGAUGGCCCCUUCACCUCGCGAGGUGUCGGGAAAAGGUAGCUUCGGCCUCUGGCCGAGGAUGAGCCCGCGGCGGAUUAGCUUGUUGGCGGGGUAACGGCCCACAAAGGCGACGAUCCGUAGCUGGUCUGAGAGGACGAUCAGCACACUGGGACUGAGACACGGCCCAGACUCCUACGGGAGGCAGCAGUGGGGAAUCUUGCGCAAUGGGCGAAAGCCUGACGCAGCGACGCCGCGUGAGGGAAGAAGGCCUUCGGGUUGUAAACCUCUUUCAGGAGGGACGAAGCUACUCGGGUGAAUAGCCCAGAGGGUGACGGUACCUCCAGAAGAAGCCCCGGCUAACUACGUGCCAGCCGCCGCGGUAA